ACUCCUACGGGAGGCAGCAGUAGGGAAUCUUCCACAAUGGACGAAAGUCUGAUGGAGCAACGCCGCGUGAGUGAAGAAGGGUUUCGGCUCGUAAAACUCUGUUGUUAAAGAAGAACAUAUCUGAGAGUAACUGUUCAGGUAUUGACGGUAUUUAACCAGAAAGCCACGGCUAACUACGUGCCAGCAGCCGCGGUAAUACGUAGGUGGCAAGCGUUGUCCGGAUUUAUUGGGCGUAAAGCGAGCGCAGGCGGUUUUUUAAGUCUGAUGUGAAAGCCUUCGGCUCAACCGAAGAAGUGCAUCGGAAACUGGGAAACUUGAGUGCAGAAGAGGACAGUGGAACUCCAUGUGUAGCGGUGAAAUGCGUAGAUAUAUGGAAGAACACCAGUGGCGAAGGCGGCUGUCUGGUCUGUAACUGACGCUGAGGCUCGAAAGUAUGGGUAGCAAACAGGAUUAGAUACCCUGGUAGUCCAUACCGUAAACGAUGAAUGCUAAGUGUUGGAGGGUUUCCGCCCUUCAGUGCUGCAGCUAACGCAUUAAGCAUUCCGCCUGGGGAGUACGGCCGCAAGGCUGAAACUCAAAGGAAUUGACGGGGGCCCGCACAAGCGGUGGAGCAUGUGGUUUAAUUCGAAGCUACGCGAAGAACCUUACCAGGUCUUGACAUACUAUGCAAAU
rnacentral:rRNA from 2 species